rfam:Salmo salar isolate Sally breed double haploid chromosome ssa07, whole genome shotgun sequence.
UUCAUUCACUACUGUAAGUUGCUCUGGAUAAGAGCGUCUGCUAAAUGACAAAAA